AUUGAACGCUGGCGGCAGGCCUAACACAUGCAAGUCGAACGAGUGGCGGACGGGUGAGUAAUGUCUGGGAAACUGCAUGAUGGAGGGGGAUAACUACUGGAAACGGUAGCUAAUACCGCAUACCAUCGGAUGUGCCCAGAUGGGAUUAGCUAGUAGGUUGGGUAAAGGCUCACCUAGGGGACGAUCCCGAGCUGGUCUGAGCGGAUGAACAGCAACACUGGAACUGAUACACGGUCCAGACGCCUACGGGAGGCAGCAGUGGGGAAUAUUGCACAAUGGGGGCAAGCCUGAGGCAGCCAUGCCGAGUGUAUGAAGAAGGCCUUCGGGUUGUAAAGUACUUUCAGCGGGGAGGCGUUACCCGCAGAAGAAGCACCGGCUAACUCCGUGCCAGCAGCCGCGGUAAUUC
rnacentral:rRNA from 1 species